rnacentral:rRNA from 1 species
GAUGAACGCUAGCGGAAGGCUUAAUACAUGCAAGUCGAGCGGUAGGUGGCUUCGGCCAUUGAGAGCGGCGCACGGGUGAGUAACGCGUACAUGACCUGCCUGUCAGAAGGGGAUAGCCCUGGGAAACUGGGAUUAAUACCCUAUGGUAUUGAUAUUAUGAAUGAUAUCAAUUAAAGUUGAGGCGCUGACAGAUGGAUGUGCGUCUGAUUAGCUAGUUGGUAGGGUAACGGCCUACCAAGGCGACGAUCAGUAGGGGGCGUGAGAGCGUGGUCCCCCACACGGGUACUGAGACACGGACCCGACUCCUACGGGAGGCAGCAGUAAGGAAUAUUGGUCAAUGCCCGCAAGGGUGAACCAGCCAUUCCGCGUGGAGGAUGAAGGCCCUAUGGGUUGUAAACUUCUUUUAGAUGGGAAGAAAAUGCUAGAUGUAUCUGGUACUGACGGUACCAUCAGAAUAAGCACCGGCUAACUCCGUGCCAGCAGCCG